GGUAAACGCUGGCGGCGUGCCUAAAACAUGCAAGUCGAACGAGACCUUCGGGUCUAGUGGCAGACGGCUGAGUAACGCGUGGGUGACGUACCUGUUGGUGGGGCGAUAACUGCCCGAAAGGGUGGCUAAUUCCGCAUAAGUCCUCGUCUUCAGUGACGAGGGGAAAGCUUCGCAAGAGGCGCCGAUGGAGCGGCCCGCGUCCGAUUAGCUGGUUGGUGGGGUAACGGCCUACCAAGGCGACGAUCGGUAGCUGGUCUCAGAGGAUGAUCAGCCAGACUGGGACUGAGACACGGCCCAGACUCCUACGGGAGGCAGCAGUUAGGAAUUUUGGGCAAUGGGCGCAAGCCUGACCCAGCAACGCCGCGUGGGUGACGAAGGCCUCGGUUGUAAG
rnacentral:rRNA from 1 species